UACGGAGGGUGCAAGCGUUGUCCGGAUUUAUUGGGUUUAAAGGGUGCGUAGGCGGCCUAAUAAGUCAGUGGUGAAAGCCUCCAGCUUAACUGGAGAACUGCCAUUGAUACUGUUGGGCUUGAGUAUACUUGAGGUAGGCGGAAUUGACAGUGUAGCGGUGAAAUGCAUAGAUAUUGUCAAGAACACCGAUUGCGAAGGCAGCUUACUAAAUUAUAACUGACGCUGAGGCACGAAAGUGCGGGUAUCAAACAGG
rnacentral:rRNA from 1 species